rnacentral:rRNA from 1 species
GACGAACGCUGGCGGCGUGCUUAACACAUGCAAGUCGAACGGAAAGGCCCUGCUUGUUUGGGGUGCUCGAGUGGCGAACGGGUGAGUAACACGUGAGUAACCUGCUCUUGACUUUGGGAUAACUUCAGGAAACUGGGGCUAAUACCGGAUAGGAUCUCCUGCUGCAUGGUGGGGGUUGGAAAGUUUCGGCGGUUGGGGAUGGACUGGCGGCUUAUCAGCUUGGUGGUGGGGUAGUGGCUUACCAAGGCUUUGACGGGUAGCCGGCCUGAGAGGGUGACCGGGCACAAGGGGACUGCGAUACGGAGCAGAGUGCUACGGGAGGCAGCAGUGGGGAAUAUUGUCCAAUGGGCGGAAGCCUGAUGAGGAAGCGCCGCGUGCGGGAUGACGGCCUUUGGGUUGUAAAACGCUUUCGCCUGUGACGAAGCGUGAGUGACGGUAAUGGGUAAAGAAGCACCGGCUAACUACGUG